GUCUAGCAGGUCGGCCGGACAUGGCGCCGAUCGAGGCUCUAGCUUCUGGCUGGCCCCGUCUGGCUCUGCUGCUCCCUCCCUAGCAGUGCCCGUCACAUGUUCGAACAAAUGCCUCAGCGGCCAGCGUAGCCGACCGUACUAGUGACUGCACCAGUGCUGCUAGCCUGCUAGCGUGCGCUGGGAGUGGAACUCGUGGCCGGAGAAGAGCCAAACACACGAGCGGCGAACGGUGGUUGAAUGCAGAGCGAAAAUGUCGAAAGAUGGCGAGGCCCGAAGCGCCAGGGAGGUCGGAGGUGACUUGGCUGGAGUCAAGUGGAUGAUGAUGGUGGUACGUUCCGGUUUUCUGCGAUGAUGGUUAGUCAAGGUGGCCUCUGAACGCCGGCGUGAAGUGUGAACCUACGGCGUGCGGUGGUCGUGCACCAGUCAGCAGUCAACACACCCUCUCCGCCUACCAUCGCCGUUCACAGAUUCGAUAUCACUGCCUCCUGGUACCAUACCAGGUAGUAUUCUAUACUGGCUUACUCUUGCUUAUCCAUGUGUUCCAGACCAAAUUAUUCAGCAGCGCAGCUCGAUGCCGGAGUAUUCAACAAUUGAGGUGCGUAUUUGUUCAUUAUUUCUGGUGUAUUUUUCUCUGUCUCUUCUAACUCCGAAGUGGUCCUGAGGAGAUCAUACAUGCAUAAAUUCCCUUGCUCAAUCUGGAUGCCGACCGUUUCUUGAUAUGACUGGGUCCAACGUAAUAAGCUAUCAGACGAGAGAAAAUCGACUAUUUGCCACUUUCAAUAUAGGGCUUCGCAAAAUUGUAAUUUUCAAAAUUGGCUUCGUAAAAAUGCCACCCAGCUCGUAUACACUUUGAUUACCCUGCCAUUUUUUCCUUUUUAAUUGCUUUCCUUUUUUUUUUUCAUUAUCUGGCACCUAAAAGGAUCAAAGUACGCUUGAUGCUAUCUACAAGUAAUCGGGCAUCAGAUCAGCACUUGAAGUUGACGAGUGCAUGUUGCCAGCUGAGAAUAUUGUGCUUGCCCCAUACCUGAUCGGCGAUCGCCUGAACGUCUUGCGUCCAUCGCUGGAUGCCUGUCUUUGAAUAAGCUACAGCUAGUGCAUGAGAAGUUCAGAACAUAGUGCACCAAGCUAGUGGAUUAUGGACUAAUUUGCGGCAUUAUUCAUCUGUCGAAUUGUUGCUCAGCUGUUCCUCACCACGAAACUAAACAUGUCAUGCUAUUCAUGAUGUAAUUGCCAGAUUGCAAUCCAAGAUGAAGUGCAGAUUAUAGCAAACAAGACGUACAUGUUAACUUGCAUUCAACAUCUUUAAGACCUGCACACGCAUACAUCAUCUCCAGCGGCUGCUCCCAUCACGCCGCUGGUGCUGAUGUUCAGCGUCGGCCUCGCUACUAGAACACUUCUCUAGCAUGUCAUGGGGCGAGCUGCGCCAACACGAGCAGCGGAGGGUGAGCUGUGCUGUCGCGUGCAGGCCUGGGUGAGCAUCCGCGGCAAGCUGUGCUGGCUCGCGCGGGCAUCCGCGAGGCGAUGGUGAUCUGCACCGGCGCGUGCAGUCGUGGACGAGCACCGACGGCGACCUGCAGGGCAGGCAUUGGCAAGGUGAGGCCGAGCUGUGCGGCACGCGGGCGUUGGUUUGCACUUGCAGGUAGCUAUGCUUGCUCAUACAUGCGUGGGCAAGCUAGGGUGGAGAGCUGUGGUGGCUUGUGCAGACAUCGGCUACGUACCGCGGCGAGCAACACUGACGGCAAGGACGAGCUAGCUUCAGAGCAAUCGGAUCCAACCUGUCCACAAACGCUUGAGAUAAGAUAUAUAGCAUCAGGGGUACUUUGGUCUUCUGAGGUGCCAGAAAAUGAAAUAGUAAAAGAAAAGCAACAUGAAAAUGGAAAAUGGCAUGAUCAUCGAAGUGUACACGAGCUGGGUGGCAUUUUUAUAAAGACAAUCUUGAGAGUGGUAAUUUUGCGAAGCCAAAAGUGAUAAAUAGUCAAUUUUCUCAUCAGACGAUGAUAGCCUGAUAGUACAUUGCCGUGGGGUCUUACCUUGUUUUUUUCCUUUGUUUAACUGACUUAACCGGUCUCCACCCCCCACCCCCCCGGUCCACACCACCCUUCACACCAUUAUUAACGCUGGAAGAGCUCAGCUAUCUUUGAAGCACACAGGUGUCCCUCGCUAGCCUGAGCAGCAGAUCUGUCCAUCCCUCUGGGUACAAGCUCAAACCUCAAACUUGCAACCUCAGCUAGGUUAACGGGGCAGCCAUUCCGUGUGAGCAUUGCAACGCUUCCCCAUAACAGUUAAUCGUACUAGUUACCCUGAAAAGCUCAAACCUGCAACCUCAGCUAUGGGCUGAUGUAAUGGCGGCAGCCAUUUCCAUGCGACUAUACCUACGUGAGGAGCAUUGCGUUGCCGCUUUCCCCUUCCAGGAGGAAGCUUCCAAGUCAGCCUAUUGUUGUCGAACAGUGUUGGCCAACAAAAAGAGCAAGAGUGAGUGGCAGCAGAAGGCAAACAAGUCAGUGGAUGGAACAGUUUGGUGCUGCAAGUGUCGAAACUGAAGCUGUGCACACUGUCGAAACUGAAGUUGUGCACACUGUCGAAACUGAAACUGAAGCUGUGCACACUGUCGAAACUGAAGUUGUGCACACUAUCGAAACUGAAACUGAAGCUGUGCACACUGUCAAAAUUGUCGAAACCGAAGCUGAUAUCGAGUUUCAUGAGGCGAUAGCAUCGAGUCCAGUGAAGAAAACCAAGAUGAUAAGUGAACUUGUGUGUGCAGUACAACCAAAAACAAGAAAUGCCAAGGCGAAGAAGG